rnacentral:rRNA from 1 species
CCUACGGGCGGCAGCAGUGGGGAAUAUUGCACAAUGGGCGCAAGCCUGAUGCAGCCAUGCCGCGUGUGUGAAGAAGGCCUUCGGGUUGUAAAGCACUUUCAGCGGGGAGGAAGGCGGUGAGGUUAAUAACCUCAUCGAUUGACGUUACCCGCAGAAGAAGCACCGGCUAACUCCGUGCCAGCAGCCGCGGUAAUACGGAGGGUGCAAGCGUUAAUCGGAAUUACUGGGCGUAAAGCGCACGCAGGCGGUCUGUCAAGUCGGAUGUGAAAUCCCCGGGCUCAACCUGGGAACUGCAUUCGAAACUGGCAGGCUAGAGUCUUGUAGAGGGGGGUAGAAUUCCAGGUGUAGCGGUGAAGUGCGUAGAGAUCUGGAGGAAUACCGGUGGCGAAGGCGGCCCCCUGGACAAAGACUGACGCUCAGGUGCGAAAGCAUGGGGAGCAAACAGGAUUAGAUACCCCGGUAGUC